rnacentral:rRNA from 1 species
UACAGAGGUCUCAAGCGUUGUUCGGAUUCAUUGGGCGUAAAGGGUGUGUAGGUGGCGCCGUAAGUCGGGUGUGAAAUUUCGGAGCUUAACUCCGAAACUGCAUUCGAUACUGCGGUGCUUGAGGACUGGAGAGGAGACUGGAAUUCAUGGUGUAGCAGUGAAAUGCGUAGAGAUCAUGAGGAAGACCAGUGGCGAAGGCGGGUCUCUGGACAAGUUCCUGACACUGAGACACGAAGGCCAGGGAGCAAACGGG